rnacentral:rRNA from 1 species
AUGAGACUGACGCCGCUGCUGCCCCGAUCGACUACGUUGUUGACGACCCCUUCUUGCCAGAGCAACCAGAUGCCGGAGCCCAGGAGCCAGACGCCACCGUCGACGACGACUCCUACUACAGUGGAGGUGCCUACAACUGCGUGCAGUCCGCUGACGACGACCAGGAGUAGUUUAGGAGGAUCCCAGGCAGGAGGCCUGCGCCUCUUUCGAUCUGUAUCCCAGUUUGUGCUAGCCUUCUUAAGGCAAUCUUGUUUAACUUAUGUCUGUACUCAGAUAUUGUUGCUUCCGCUGACUCGUCUAUGA